UGGUGUAGUGGUAAGCACACGGGGCUUUGGACCCCGAGACGGCGGUUCGAAUCCGCCCCGGACUA
rnacentral:tRNA from 1 species